AGUAUUGAAGUAAAAUUACACUUAGUUUCGACCUAAAAUUAGAGAAUAUUUCUCCUUACUU
rnacentral:tRNA from 1 species